GUGAAAAUUUAGAUCGGGGAGACAUACAACAGGAAGCAUCCGUGACUGAAAGAAUACCUUUUCCUGGAAUGGCUGAAAGUGGUUCCAGUGAAGUUUUAGAAGACACGGAAAAAAAUAAAAGUAGAGUCAUGAAGAGGAUGAAAGAGAACACCAAAGAGCCUGUAUACAGAGUGCCAGAAAUGAGAGAUGAUUAUGAGGAGAAUGCGUAUUUCACAGAGGAAAAUGCUAAAAGGGAAAAGCCUCAAGAGUGUGGAAAAGCUCAGGAGAAGAACAAGAAAAACUUAGAGACCACAGCAGAAACUAGAAGUGGCUGUAAUGAUUAUGAUGCAUGUGACCUUGUUCAAGAUAGUGGAGAAUGUCAGAAUUACAUUUUGAAGUGGUACUACGACAA
rnacentral:lncRNA from 1 species